AAAACCCAAAUGAACUUUUUGG
rnacentral:miRNA from 1 species